UCUACUCAUCUGUCACUUUCGUGGCUGACGCAACGCAACGCGUAGCGUGUGCUAAUAUAUAUAUUGUAGCUGUGUAUACAAUUGUAUACAAUACAGCACAACACAGUGAGAGAGAAUUCUCGAGUGACUCGCUCGUGACACCCUCGAAAUGUCAAAUUCGGCGAAGAUUCACGAGGAGUAGGAAGAUGCGAUGGCUGCCUCAGGUGCAUCACGUAAUGAAGAGGAGGAGUUGAACGGGGAAACUGAAUCAGAGGCCAGUAGUAUAUACCAAUGUGGUUCGGUGAUCUCCACCGUACCUGAUCGUCAUGGAUUCCUAGGUGGUUCGCAAUACAGUCCUGAAAGGAAGCAAUCUAUACCACCUGAUGUGAUACUGCGAAGAGAAAGAAAAUGGAUACAGAUGCUGAAUAAUUGGAGCCUUUUCAUGACAACGAAUUAUCGCAAAGUCCGCGAGAGAUGUCGCAAAGGUAUACCGCCUUCCGUGAGACUGCGCGCCUGGUUGAAUCUUUGUGGUGGUCAGCUUCUAAUGAACGAGAAUCCAAACUUGUACGAAGAACUGAUCAAACGUCCCGGCGAUCCCAAAUACAUAGAGGAUAUAAAAAAAGAUCUUCAUCGUCAAUUCCCGCAUCAUGAGAUGUUCGUCGACAACGCACCUGGGCAACAAGAACUGUUCCAGGUCCUCAAGGCGUACUCCAUUCUGAAUAGUAAAGUCGGUUACUGCCAAGCUCAAGCGCCUAUCGCCGCGUUCCUACUGAUGCAUAUGCCAGCAGUGCAAGCAUUUUGGUGUCUCGUCGCGAUAUGCGACAAAUAUCUCGUCGGCUAUUACAGUCAGGGCAUGGAAACGUUACUGCGUGAUGGAGAUAUUCUGUUUGCUCUUCUGAAGAGAGUCUCUCCUGUCGCAUAUAAGCAUUUAAAAAAACAAAAAAUGGAGCCAAUUCUGUACAUGACGGAAUGGUUCUUGUGCGUUUACACGCGAACGUUGCCGUGGGAAAGUAUCUUGCGCAUAUGGGACAUGUUUCUUUGCGAAGGCGUGAAAGUGAUUUUCAAAGUAGGUCUGGUAUUGUUGAAGGGUAGUUUGGGUCGUUCAUCCCUUGUUAAGCGAUGCCCGACGACAUACGAAACCCUCCAAGUUCUAAGAAAUCCGCCGCAACAUAUCAUGGAGGAGGAAGCUUUGAUCUAUCAAAUUCAGAGGUUGAAUUUGAGCGAGGAGGAUUUCGAGUACGAGCAUCAGAGGCAAAUGUUGAAAAGAAAGGCAGCGGAGAAGGAAACUGUCAAUCGAACUGACUGACAAUUAAGUAUUUAGUUAGAUGGAAAUAUGAGGGGCGAAAUAUGUAUUUAACGUAUAUAACGCCCCAAUAUGUGCCUUCCCUUCCAUUCUUCUGAUACUGUACAGAAUCGUAUCUCUUCCUUUUCCAAAGUUGAGAGAUAUAGCAAGAAAACUGAUAGCUAGCUGUGGUGAAAUUCCCCCAACGGUUGCGUCUGUCUAUGGCAUUCAUCACGAAAGUCGUUAGACGUGGAAAAUCGUCGUUGUCGGCUACUCGCGCGUUAAAAGCCAAGUGCGGCAGUUUCGGUAGAAAUAGCACACCCAUCAUGAACAGAAGAGCCAUGCUGAUAAACGUGCCGAUCGCUACAAAGAGCGGAUUCAUAAGCUGCUUCUGAGUGUUCUCCGCAGUUUCCGUGGCUGCGUACAUUGGAACGAUCUGAAAAGAAAAUGCGAGCGUAUUCAUUCCCAAGUAGCAAGCAUAUGUAUCAGUUUGCUACUUGGGCUCUGAUUUUUAUACGAAAAUUUUGGUAUAAUAGAUUCAAAAUAUAGCAUAAUGAAGAACAUAUUUUUUAACAAAUGUUGGAG